GCUCUACUACCUGUAACUUAGCAACGGUGGCGCAGUGUGCACCAACACAGGUACAUCGCAUUCACGAUUUUAUUUCGUACGUUUGUAACGGUGCUAACAACUCGAUGGACAUAAUACGUGUGAAUGAAAGUGCGAUCAGUGCAGUUGAAGACUACCUAGAAUACAGAAGGUACAAGCAGCAUCAGACAGACCUUGAGAAGCUGCCUGUAGAGCGGCCGCUGGCUCUGCCGUGCCGCGUUCCGGGCUGCGGCUGCGUCUCCUACUCCUACAUCCACCUCAACGGCUCCCAGCCAGUCCGCUGCCGGUGCAAGCACUCCGUCCAGGACCACAGCGAGGCCGGCGGGCGCCGGUGCAGGAAAUGUUCUACAUGCACUGCGUUCCACAGCCCGUAUACCUGCAGCUGUGGCCAGCCUAGCUACGCCCACAAAACCCUGGUUGAGACGAAGGAGGAGCGCUUGGCUCGGGGCAUGCCCGUAGGGAAGGAUGUCCCGUACAUUGCCAUGGGAGGACUUACGGGAUUCAGCUCUCUGGCUGAGGGCUUCCUGAGACUCGACAACCGCGGGUUGGGGGGGCAAAUAGGCCAUCCUCUGUACUCUGGACUGGAACUGGCUGGAUCCCGAGCCUCCGUUGACUGUGCGCUCGAGGAGGCCGACGGGGCGUGUUCUCAGACCGCAGACAUAAACUCACUGAAGCAGAAGAAGUCAGACUUGAAGACAAGGGAAGAGGAAGACAUGGCCGUCUUUGAAAGACGAUACAAGGAGAGGCUGGAAAUGGAGAAAGUGAGGAAACAGAAGGUGCCGGCAAUGAGAGGGACCCCACCGUCCGCCAACACGCAAAGGAAACGCGGCAAGCCGGAAGGGUGAUGAUUCGUGUUUUAUUUGCCGCGCGCGGUUUGAGUUUUACUCCCUCAGUAUUUCUGUUACAAUGCAGUGGAUAUGUUUUUAUAAAGUUGGAUUGCUGUAUGCUGUGCUAUUUUGAUUAAUGAGUAAAUGUUAAGAAAAGCAACUGCAAAAGUACAUUCUGUAAUGUAUAGCUGUAUCCUCCAGGGGUCAGCAGUGCUACGCUGUGCUGUACCGUGUGUGUGUGUGUGUGUGUGUGUGUGUGUGUGUGUGUGUGUGUGUGUGUGUGUGUGUGUGUGUGUGUGUGUGUGUGUGUGUGUGUUUUAUUGAAUGGAAUUUAAGAGUUUUUGGGUUUUGCAAACAGACAGUGGCAUUUGGAGUAAAAAAGGCAAAUUACAGGCUUGUCAGUUCGUGCCAGUCAGUCCAAUCCUUCAGUAAUUUAAAUGUAAUUGUAAAUUGAAAAUAAUUGUAAUCCCCACACACUGUCGAAAAGCAGCAUUCCAGCAUUCCAGCUAUUCCCAAAUGACCUGCUCUAAAACCUUUGCUAACUCCACAAAAUGCAAGAGUAAUAACAGUCAGAAAGAAAUCAUGGCUGUUUCACUGACUACAUUUGAUUUCUAAUCAAUACCUCACUGACUCAUUAAAUUAAUUAACUAAUUGAGCUGGUGGUGAAAUUUAGCAAGAACAUAGAGGAACCCGGAGGAAAGUUUUGGGAACCAAAAUGGUGUUUUUCUAGCCAUCCAACAAGAUGUCAGUAACUACUUGGAGAACAAAAGAAAUGCUUGUUUCUUUUUAAUUGGGCUACUUUCCACUUGCAUGUGUUCUAAUGUUAAAUUGUGAUUUUUUUUCUAAGCAAAUAUAUACUUCCUACAUUACCAUUAAAUAUUUUCUUUUACUACCUUAGACUGUUGCACUGUACUGUAAAUAGACAUAAUACUGACCGUGAGACAUUAUGAUUGAUGAUCGUCAUAAAGGCAGAGGUAUGACCUGAUCCUGAGGCAUGGAAAACAGUCGACAUACAUUAUAUGGCCAAAAGUAUGUGGACACCAGCUUGUCCAACAUCUCAUUCUGAAACCAAGGGUUUUAAUAUGAAGUUGGUCCACCCUUUGUUGCUAUAAUAGCCUGUACUCUUCUGGGAAGGCCUUCCAUUAGAUGUUGGGACAUUGCCGGUGGCAUUUGCUGCCAUUCAGGUUGGGUAGUGAUGCUGAGCGAUCAGGUCCUUUUCUGUGAGCUUGUGGCUGCCAUUUUAUAACUGAUCUUACUCCCAGACGUUUCCACUUCACAAUCACAACACUUGCAGUUGACCAAGGCAGCUAUUGUAAUGGAGACGUUUGGCUUAACAAACUUGCGGGAAGGAUCACUAAUCAUUUCUGGAUAAUCAUCCAUCUUGCUGCCAGUGUUUGUAAACUGGAGACGGCGUGGUUCUGUUCUUCAUUAUACAUGGGUGUCAGAUGUGGGUGUGGAUUAAUUAGCCAGUUCCUUUAAUUAAUAAGGGUGUCCGCACUCAGCCGUAUGGUGUAUGAACGUUGGGAGUACUCAACAGUUGUGUUUUUGACAUUUUAAAAAUAAGUUAAAAAGUCAAAUUUGAUGCAUCCCGGGGUUUUAUAUGCGUACAAUAUACUGAUCAUCUUGUAUGAAUAUCGAGCAGUAUGCAUGUUGUGGUUAUGUAGACUUGUAUCACGUCCUGCCCGCCACUUCCACCUGAGCCUCCUGUCUCCUUCCUGGUGUGAACCUAACAAGCCAUGCCUGUUACUCUUCUAUUUUACCUCUUGUUCUUAACUCUCAUAUUAAUCACUCCCAGCUACCUCUCAUUACCUCCCUUGUUAAUUCUGUAUAUACGUGCUUCCCAGUCCUGUGUUCCCCAGUCCUGUGUUCCCCAGUCCAUUCAUUGACGUUGAACCUUCUUGUUGCCUGUACCUUACCUCAUUCCAGUCCUCCCAUUUUGAUCCCUCAUGAUCUGGUUUAUUUCCAGCCUUGGAUCGUUAUGUUCAAUUUUUGUUUCAUCACCAUGCCUGCCCCCGAGUCCUUUGUCCCGCCGGUCGUGACAUCAUACAAAAUUAUAAAACCUAGAGUGUAAGUGAAAGGUGUCUAAACAACGCAGCAGGAGCAUAAAGACUUUGGACUGAAGGUGGUUAAGUCCCAGCAAGGGCCUUUGAGUCAAGUACUAAACGUACAGCAGCUGCAGUGAAAUAUCAAGCUGCAAAAAUAUGUGAAAAUUUGGGUUACGUCAUUAUGAUGGGCAGUAACACACAUCAGUGUCUGUUUUUCAAAUCGUCGAAAGCCACUUCCGUGAAAUUUGUCUCGUUUUAAAGAUCAAUGUCGAAAUCCAGAUUAGAGCUGUGCUUUGUCGAAACUAAUAAAAGGAUUAUGGGUGUUAUAGUAAGAGGUACAGUGAAUCCAUGCUGGCCCUUUGACUCCCUGCAUCCACACGCAUCCGGAGUCAAUAUGGCUGGACGGAUUGAAAAACCCUCAUCUUCGGUGCAGCUGUUUUGAGUUAUUUAUUCGAGCAGCCCCUUCCUCUGGGAAACUUCCUGGGGGUGUCACGAUUUUUAUUCUUUCUCACAUUACAGGUAAAUCUAAAUACAUCUAGGUUCAUGCUGACGGGUGGUGUGUGGCUCAGUGAAUUGGGGCACUGUGCCUGCAAAUGGAAGGUCGCUGGGUCAAAUCCCAGGGUUGGCAGAAUUAUGUCACCAUUGGGCCCCUGAGGAUGGCCCUCAGCCAUUAAAAAAAAUGUGUAUUCCUUUGGGUAAAAGCUAAAUAAAUUCGAUGUAACUAUAAGUAGAUUUUGCCAUCUAUACUUUAUCUCUACAAACGUUUCUUCUCACUGUAUCAUUCUCCUGUGUGUUCAAAACAUUUAUAAACUGUGGGGAGAAAAAGAAGCCUUGCAUUUGCAUUUGGAGAAACGGGGGCAUGUUUAAAAUAUAUUUCAAUAUGUCACUUUGUUCAAUAUCGCCCAUUUGUGCGUAGAAAAUGUCAAAAAACACGAUCAAUGUUAUUUCUCGAUUGGAUAAGAUUUCUAAUAAUCUCACAUGGCUUAUAAGUGCUUAUAAGACUAAUUGCUGGUUUAGGUCCCAGAAUCUUUUUGGGUUUUUGCCACCAUUUAAAACAAUUCCAUAAUAUGACCCUUUCCGAAAUCGCUCUUGGUCAACUGUGUCUUUGCCAAGUUCUCUAGGUGAUUCAAUCGCUGCACCUAUCUACCCAAACAUGACUGCAGGCUGGGUGACCAGGGUGACAAAUUGCCGGUUCCCAGUGCCAGAUACGUCCCUCAAAAGUGCCCCUUAGAGAAAUUCCGUAUCAUUAGGUGUAGUUUGUGCAGACUUUUGUCCAGCUGAAAUUUGUAGAGGAGCUAUUAUGGUUUUUAUCUUUAGUAUAACCAGGGCAUUUGGGGCUUAAAAAAUGUCAGUCCCUGAAGUUCAGAAGCGAUAUUUUAUUCCUGUGUCGUCCGAGGCAUCGUUUUCCAGAGUAACUGCGUCAAUAAUCGUGUCCUUGGGCAUCAUUUUAAUAGACGCAGACAUUGGCUUUGCUCGCUUGAAGGUGACCGCUGCCAAUGAUUAUGAAACAUGUAAUAUAAUAAGAAAAAAAAUAGAUAAAACUGCACCAACAACCAGGCACAUCGCUGGAAAUUCUGGACCCACUGACAAAAUGUCACCUUGCCCCCCCCCCCUUUGGCCGCACGAUUGUACGUAUAAUUUUGCGUGUAAUUUUACAUAUUCAAGGACUCCUGUCGAGUGCUGGACCCCUGAAUCUCUGAAUCCAUGGCCCUACUGCAUGCACCCCUGGCAAAAAAAAAAACGAACUUUCAAAAAAAUAAAAUAGCCACACAAUGACGUCGAUUUGUGACCUGCAGUAUUAUUACGGUACGUUGGGGCAUCAUUGUGGGCAAGUUUUGAUGUCACUUUGUUCAAUAUCGCCCAUUUGUACGUAGAGAAUGUCAAAAAACACGACCAAUGUUAUUUCUCGAUUGGAUAAGAUUUCUGAUCAUCUCAGAUGACUUAUAAGAGCUUAUAAGACUAAUUGCUGGUUUAGGUAGCAGAAUCUUUUUGGGUUUUUGCCAUCAUUAAAAAAAAUCCACAAUAUGACCCUUUCCGAAAUCACUCUUGGUCAACUGUGUCUUUGCCAAGUUCUCCAGGUGAUUCGAUCGCUGCACCUAUCUACCCAAACAUGACUGCAGGCUGGGUGACCCGGGUGACAAAUUGGAUAAUGUGGCAACCUGAGAAACGACUCCAUCGCAGUAGCUGUGAAUCAGGCAUGGAGAACGUCCAGCUGUAAUGAACACAAAUGUAAGUGGAUCAAAAAAAGGAUGCCGUAGAACAGCUUAGUAAUUACAUGGAGAACGUCCAUGUCCAUGUCACAAAUUCUGAAGUGAUGAUGAGCUCUUCUGAAUCAAAGUAGAUGUUACUAGUUGGCAUUUGUUGUGAUUCAGAUUUACAGUGUUAAUUUUUGCAGUGACUUACAGUAAUAUCUUUUUAUAUGGUAAGACAAUUUGAUUGGAGUGCAAACACAAUUGCAUAAGGUUUUUCAAGAAUAUUUUGACAUGUGAACAUUGUGCAAGAAACUUGCAUAUCUAGAUAUCUCAUUAGCUUUAAUGAUCUAUCAGAGUCCUGCCUACUAUUUUCUGGACUCAGGUAGGAGUCUCCAUGAAUCACAUUACAAUGCUGUUAAAUGUGUAGCAGCAGUAAAGACUGUAGGGGAUUAGAGUCCAUUCACAAGAAAGCAUGACAGGUGAAGCCUGUAACCUUUAACUCUUUAGUUUAAAUGCCUUUGUACAAAAAUCAUAUACACAAUUAUACUCAGUAGAAUGUGCAGUGAGGCUGUGAAAGAACACAUAACUUUAUGAAGGUGUAUUGUGCAGUGAGGCUGUGAAAGAACACAUAACUUUAUGAAGGUGUAUUGUGCAGUGAGGCUGUGAAAGAACACAUAACUUUAUGAAGGUGUAUUGUGCAGUGAGGCUGUGAAAGAACACAUAACUUUAUGAAGGUGUAUUGUGCAGUGAGGCUGUGAAAGAACACAUAACUUUAUGAAGGUGUAUUGUGCAGUGAGGCUGUGAAAGAACACAUAACUUUAUGAAGGUGUAUUGUGCAGUGAGGCUGUGAAAGAACACAUAACUUUAUGAAGGUGUAUUGUGCAGUGAGGCUGUGAAAGAACACAUAACUUUAUGAAGGUGUAUUGUAUUGGCCCCCAAUCCAGACCAAUCCAAUUAUGUUCCAGGACUUUUAGAGCCAGAAGCUCUUCCUCAGCCUUUCUGCGUUUGCCCCAAUGUCAGGAGAGGCCAUUGCUGGAGUGACUGGGAGUGGACCUGCAUCUACUGACAAAAAUGUUCUGGAGGUGGGCAUGAGAGGAAAUGGGUGCUGGUGAACCUUCCCCUUUAAAGAGUCAGUGUGAAUGGAUCCGGUCAGAUCCUCGGUUAUGUGAAGUGGCCACUCUCUGCUAAAGCACUAUUGAUCCUGAUAUGGUCGCACUUCCUCAUCUGUUUCCUUCUGAAGUUCACAGUCAAUUCAACUUCACCAAAGCAUUAAUUAAUCUGUAUGCGGCAGUAAUUUGAGAUAAGACUACAAUGGUCUCCACUCAUUGUGCAUUUUGUUUAGUCUUUUGUUGACAUCAGCUCCAGGGUUGAUAAAUAUAUGUUUUACAUUUUUGACCCUGAGUAAUAGGAGGGAUUGUUGGAAGCACUUAAUACACCCGUGUAUUGUAGAUACCUUCAUAAUG